AUGCAGGACGUCUUCAUGCAAGAUCAGGUCGGCCGGGACCUGGACGGCUUCCCGCUCGACCACGAGUUUCCGGAGGACUACGACCUCGAGGGAAAGGAUAAGUUGGACAUCGACGGGGAGCCUUUGUUCGAGGGCGAGCUCGCCAACCAAGCCGCCGGGGUGAAGCCGAAGCGCAAGAGCAGGUGGACGAAGGUAUACACGACGGCCGAGAACAAGCUCCUUUCUGAGUGUUGGAGGAACAUUGGGCAAGACCCCAAGGUUUGCGCCGAACAAAAGGCAUCAACCUUUUGGAGUCGUGUCCAUCGUGAGUUCCAUGAACGCAAGAAGUUCCCGCCGUACCAAAUGCAAAGCACGCGCAGGUGGGUAUCCAUUUCGAAGCGAUGGAAGGUGAUCCAAUAA
rnacentral:rRNA from 1 species